rnacentral:rRNA from 1 species
UACGUAGGUGGCAAGCGUUGUCCGGAAUUACUGGGUGUAAAGGGCGUGUAGACGGGGAUGCAAGUCAGAUGUGAAAUUCCAGGGCUCAACCCUGGCGCUGCAUCUGAAACUGUGUCUCUUGAGUGCUGGAGAGGAAAGCGGAAUUCCUAGUGUAGCGGUGAAAUGCGUAGAUAUUAGGGGGAACACCAGUGGCGAAGGCGGCUUUCUGGACAGUAACUGACGUUGAGGCGCGAAAGCGUGGGGAGCAUACAGG